rnacentral:rRNA from 1 species
UACGAAGGGGGCUAGCGUUGUUCGGAAUCACUGGGCGUAAAGCGUGCGCAGGCGGUGAUGUAAGACAGAUGUGAAAUCCCCGGGCUCAACCCCGGAACUGCCUUCGAUACUGCUGGUCUGGAGUCCGAGAGAGGUGAGUGGAAUUCCGAGUGUAGAGGUGAAAUUCGUAGAUAUUCGGAGGAACACCAGUGGCGAAGGCGGCUCACUGGCUCGGUACUGACGCUGAGGUGCGAAAGCGUGGGGAGCAAACAGG